CUGGCCUGGAUGACCCAUAUGGUUCAAGUCAGGUCUAAAGAAGAAACCAUGAGGGAGGCUUCCUUCCCAUCUUUCAGGCUUUUGAGGUGAGUGCUCCUCUCACAUUAAGCAUAUUCACUAUAAGAAAUGGUUUUAUAGUGUUAUGGU